CGCGUAGGUGGUUUGUUAAGCGAGAUGUGAAAGCCCCGGGCUUAACCUGGGAACGGCAUUUCGAACUGGCAGGCUAGAGUGUGGUAGAGGGUAGUGGAAUUUCCUGUGUAGCGGUGAAAUGCGUAGAUAUAGGAAGGAACACCAGUGGCGAAGGCGGCUACCUGGACCAACACUGACACUGAGGUGCGAAAGCGUGGGGAGCAAAC
rnacentral:rRNA from 1 species